UACAUUUUAGUAUAGGUUGUACAGUGGUUUUUGAUACCUCAGGAGAUGGAUAGUACUCAUUAAAUGUAA
rnacentral:tRNA from 1 species